GAUGAAGAACGCAGCGAAAUGCGAUACUUGGUGUGAAUUGCAGAAUCCCGUGAACCAUCGAGUCUUUGAACGCAAGUUGCGCCCGAAGCCAUUAGGCCGAGGGCACGCCUGCCUGGGCGUCACACGUCGUUGCCCCCCCAUCUACUCCUUCGGGAUUGCGGGGGGCGGAUGAUGGCCUCCCGUGCGCCUCGUCGCGCGGUUGGCAUAAAUGCCAAGUCCUCGGCGACGCACGCCACGACAAUCGGUGGUUGCGAAACCUCGGUUGCCCGUCGUGUGCGGUCGUCGCGCAUCGAGGGCUCGAAAAAAUUGCCGGGCUCCGGCUCGACUUCCAACGCGACCCCAGGUCAGGCGGGGUUACCCGCUGAAUUUAAGCAUAUCAAUAAGCGGAGGA
rnacentral:misc_RNA from 1 species